GCAUUGGUGGUUCAGUGGUAGAAUUCUCUCUUGCCACGCGGGAGACUCGGGUCCGAUUCCCGGCCAAUGCA
rfam:Danio rerio chromosome 4, GRCz11 reference primary assembly.